ensembl:lncRNA
GCAGAAGACCCAGGUUUGAUCACUCGGUCAGGGAGAUCCCCUGGAGAAGGAAAGGGCUACCCACUCCAGUAUCUUACCUGGAGAAUUCUGUGGAUAGAGGAGCCUGGCAGGCUGCAGUCCAUCAGGUUGCAAAGAGUCGGACAUGACUGAGGAAUGAACACACUUGUGAGAGAUGCAAGCUGACAGGUGUUAGUGCCCAAAGAGUCGUCACCAAGCAACAGCACAGCCCCGGCCGCCAUCUUGGAUUGCAAAACCACUUAGCUGUGGUGCUGGAACAGCCAUUCCACAGGAAGAACUCCAGUCUGAAGAGCAGGGUGUGAGGCCUCUGCAUGUGGCCCCCUGUGGGCACAUGAAACCCGACUAAGCCCAAAGGGGAAAAAAAGGGGCUUCUGGUUCAAGAUGUCAGAGUAGAAGGAUGUGCGCUCAUCUGCUCCCAUGAGAGCUCCAAAAUCACAACUCGGUGUUGAACAACCAUCAAUAGGAGGACACUGGAACCCACUAAAAAAACAUAGCCCAUGUACAAAGACAAAGAACAAGCCACACCAAGGUGGUAAGAGGGACACAAUUACGGUAAAAACAAAUCCCAUACCUGCCAUGUGGGUGACCCACAAACUGGAAAAUAAUAAUACCAAAGAAGUUCUCCCACUGUUGUGAAGAUUCUGAACCCCACAUCAGGCUUCCAGCCUGGGGUUCUGACAGCAGGGCUGGGAAUCCCCAGGGAAUCUGACCUUGAAGGCCAGAAGGAUUUGAUUAUAGAACUUCCACAGGACUGGGGGAAACAGAGACUCCAGUCUUGGAGGGCACAAACAAAACCUUGCAUGUAACCGAGACUCAGGGGAAAGGAGAAGUGACCCCACAGGAGACUGAACUAAAACUACCUGCACGUGUUGGAGGGUCUCCUAUGGAGGAUUGGGUCUGCAGGGGCUCACCACAGGGAUGGAGGCACUGGCAGCAGCAGUCUGGGAAGGUCCCCCUUGGCAUAAACUGUCUUGGAGGUUGACAUUAAUCCGACCAUGGAACCAUCAGCAGAUAAUUGGAUUAAAACUUUACUGAGCAAGGCCCUGCCCAUCAGAGCAAGAUCCUGUUUUUCCUACUACCAGUCCCUCCCAUCAGAAAGCUUACACAAGCCUCUUAGCCUCCUCCAUCAGAGGGCAGACAGAAGAAGCAAGAAGAACCACAGUCCCAUAGUGACUAAAACAAAAACCACAUUACAGAGAGUUAAUCAGAAAAAAGAGGAAGCUAUGUCCCAGAUGAAGGGACAAGAUAAAACCCCAGAAAAACAACUAAAUGAAGUAGAGAUAGGCAACCUUACAGAA